UACGUAGGGACCAAGCGUUGUUCGGAUUUACUGGGCGUAAAGGGCGCGUAGGCGGCAAUUCAAGUCAUCUGUGAAAUCUCCGGGCUUAACUCGGAACGGUCAGAUGAUACUGCUUUGCUCGAGUGCGGAAGGGGCAAUCGGAAUUCUUGGUGUAGUGGUGAAAUGCGUAGAUAUCGGGAGGAACACCAGUGGCGAAGGCGACUUCCUGGCCUGUUCUUGACGCUGAGGCGCGAAAGCUAGGGGAGCAAACGGG
rnacentral:rRNA from 1 species